AUACAGGAAGCCAAAAUGGAAGUCGCCAAAACGUUGAGCUUCAGAUUUCUUAUAUAAGACACAGUUUCUGUUAAACAAACCACCAGUCUUCUACAGACCACAACGUAAAAAUGAACAAGUCAGCACUUCUUCUUUUGCUCGUCAUCGGACUCCUCGUUCUUACUGAAACCACUGAUGCCUAUUGGGGUCGUCGUCGUCGUCGUAGAUAUAGCCAAAAGUCAACAAGUGUUGAAGAAAAUGAUGUAAUGAUGAAUGAAAUUAUGCGAAAAAUUAUUCAACAGGAUGAAUAAUUGCUUGCCCAUCCAGUGCAUUAUAAUAUGUUGAUUGAAUAAAUUCAAAAGCAACAUUAUUUGGCUUGUUUCUGUAUCUUCGCAGUGACCAAGGAAAUAUUUGUAUCAUAGAAAAUGACCUUGAAAAUAUAUUUUGACAAACAUUG